CCCUUAGAUGUUCUGGGCCGCACGCGCGCUACACUGAUGCACUCAACAAGCCUAGCCUUGACCGAGAGGUCCGGGUAAUCUUUGAAACUGCAUCGUGAUGGGGCUAGAUUAUUGCAAUUAUUAAUCCUCAACGAGGAAUGCCUAGUAAGCGUGAUUCAUCAAAUCGCGUUGAUUACGUCCCUGCCCUUUGUACACACCGCCCGUCGCUCCUACCGAUUGAAUGUGUUGGUGAGGAGCUCGGAUUGGCAGCAGUUGGUGGUUCGCCACCGGCUAUUGCUGAGAAGUCCUCCAAACCGCNCNAUUUAGNGGAAGGAGAANUCGUANCA
rnacentral:rRNA from 1 species